CUCCUCUCAGGGUCACACCUGGAGAGUUUCCGGUAGUCUACCAGUAGCGACCAUGGGAGGGAGAGUCAAGCAGAGGCAUAUCCAUUCCAUUCCUAGUUUGGGCAGUGGCUACAGAGUGGAAGGCAAUCUGCUACAAGU